rnacentral:misc_RNA from 1 species
GGAGAUCACGGCAUCCCGGUACUGGUGGGCCACCUCCGUCCGAGUCGGCGUCCGGCGCCCCACCGGGCCGAGGCGGUGCUCAUGGCGAGCGGCCGCCGUCGCACGGCCGCCACGUGGUGGAGCAGCGCGGUGCACGUUCCCUCCUCAGCCCGCCGCACGCACGCCGCCGCGCCAUGGUGGGAGUGGAACAUCGAAGGACAGGACGGGACCGGAUCCCAGGCCCCAGCUGGAUGCGCGCACGCGGUCCAACAGCCGUGCUCGUGGGCUUGCACCGCAGCCGCCGCCGCCGCCGACGAAACCAGAGCCCACGUAGAUGAGCAUCGUCUUCUUCAUCUGGAACUUCAUCUCUAUACAUCUAUUACAUAUGAAUACGAAUGAUACAUGUAAAUAAACGGUUUGUGUUUGUAUGCAUGAAAUGCGUCUGUUCUUAUUAUUAUUGGG